rnacentral:rRNA from 1 species
AACGAACGCUGGCGGCAUCCCUAACACAUGCAAGUCGAACGACCCUUUCGGGGUUAGUGGCGCACGGGUGCGUAACGCGUGGGAGCCUGCCUUUUGGUUCGGAAUAACAGUGAGAAAUUACUGCUAAUACCGGAUAAUGUCUUCGGACCAAAGAUUUAUCGCCAUUAGAUGGGCCCGCGUAAGAUUAGCUAGUUGGUGGGGUAAAGGCCUACCAAGGCGACGAUCUUUAGCUGGUCUGAGAGGAUGAUCAGCCACACUGGGACUGAGACACGGCCCAGACUCCUACGGGAGGCAGCAGUGGGGAAUAUUGGACAAUGGGCGAAAGCCUGAUCCAGCAAUGCCGCGUGAGUGAUGAAGGCCUUAGGGUUGUAAAGCUCUUUUACCAGGGAUGAUAAGGACAGACCUGGAGAAUAG